rnacentral:lncRNA from 1 species
GGACUAGCUAUUCUAGGGACUUUAUUAAACAAACAUAAUAAAGAAAAAAGUCUUUUAUUAUUAAUAAGUAUUUCGAUACAAGUACCAAAAUUAUUGGCCCCUAGGGCUUACACCAACAACCCUAACUUGAGGAGUGUUGGAUCUGCCACGUCAAUUAAUGAGACGUGAUCCAAGGCUCCAUGUUUUUCUGAUUUUUAAUUCUUUUUCUUUUAUUAUUUUUAAUUGCUUUUUUCUUUUAAAAUUCAUAGUAAUUUUAUUUUUCAUCCAAAAAAUCCCAAA